rnacentral:rRNA from 1 species
GACGAACGCUGGCGGCGUGCCUAGCACAUGCAAGUCGAACGAGGGUUUGGAAAGCUUGCUUUCCGAAACCUAGUGGCGGACGGGUGAGUAACGCGUGAGUAACCUGCCUUUCAGAGGGGAAUAACGUUCUGAAAAGAACGCUAAUACCGCAUAACGUACAGUUACCGCAUGGUAGCAGUACCAAAGGAGCAAUCCGCUGAAAGAUGGACUCGCGUCCGAUUAGCUAGUUGGUGGGGUAAAGGCCUACCAAGGCGACGAUCGGUAGCCGGACUGAGAGGUUGAACGGCCACAUUGGGACUGAGACACGGCCCAGACUCCUACGGGAGGCAGCAGUGGGGGAUAUUGCACAAUGGGGGAAACCCUGAUGCAGCAACGCCGCGUGUGGGAAGAAGGUUUUCGGAUUGUAAACCACUGUUCUUGGUGAAGAUAAUGACGGUAACCAAGGAGAAAGCUC